rnacentral:rRNA from 1 species
UACGUAGGGGGCAAGCGUUAUCCAGAUUUACUGGGCGUAAAGGGCGCGUAGGCGGCCACCGCAAGUCGACUGUGAAAUCUCCGGGCUUAACCCGGAAAGGUCAGCCGAUACUGCGGGGCUAGAGUGCAGAAGGGGCAACUGGAAUUCUCGGUGUAGCGGUGAAAUGCGUAGAUAUCGAGAGGAACACCUGCGGCGAAGGCGGGUUGCUGGGCUGACACUGACGCUGAUGUGCGAAAGCUAGGGGAGCGAACGGG